rfam:Heligmosomoides polygyrus genome assembly, scaffold: HPBE_scaffold0006746
GCGCCGGUGGUGUAAUGGUGUAGAGCAUUCCCGCCCGGUUAGAGGGAGGUGCGGGUUCGAGUCCCGCCUGGCGCU